GAGGGUAUAUCUCAGAGGUAGAGUGCAUGCUUAGCAUCCUCGAGGUCCUGGGUUCAAUCCCCAGUACCUCCA
rnacentral:tRNA from 1 species